rnacentral:lncRNA from 1 species
CAAUGCCAAGCACCUUGCAGCAAUAAGGAGGUCUGGAAAUCUCACAGCACCUGCCAGGGAGAUGCUUGCCUUCCAUCACGUUGGGCUGAAAAUUUCUUAGUGAGAGUGUUGAUUGUUUCUAUGUUUUUCCAUGCCAGUGCCAAUUAGGGUGGACACACAAUGAAUGCUGAAGAAGGAGUAUCAUUGUAUUCUGAAGCCACAGAGGACACGGAGGAGGAUAAAACUUAAGCAGUCUCAGCUCAGGAAUUCCUGCUCUGCCUUACCAAUGCUUCUUGGGAAGCAACAAGUUGUGCAAGCCCAUUUGUUCCUUGACCUUUACCAAGAUAGGAAGUCAUUCUGGAUACAAUAGCCAGUGAACAUUGUUAUAUUUAUAACAGUCUGUAAAAGUACAAAAAAUAUACUGUGCUGAACGUGUAUAAAACCCUCAGUGACCAAUAAAGCCAGUUAAUGGAGCUGAA